UUCCAGUCCAGGAACCACAAAAACAGCUUACUGGGCUUCUAUGUACAAUUAUGUAAAUUAAUCUUAGGAUGCCCGAAAUCCACCAGAGGACUCUCAGCUGAAAUGCGAUUUUAUAACAUGAAUGCUGUCGUAAAGAAUUUUAACAAUUUUUUUAGUGUGUAGAUGUCGUAGCCUACAAUAAAGGGUUGACGUUGUGAUCAUUUUUAAUUUUGUAAGUAUUUUGAGUGUGUUCAUUGGUUAUUCGUGGAAGUGUUACUUCACAUCACUGGCUGUUUUUGUGGUUUGUGGACUGGAAUAAAAGGAUAUUAAUAGGCAAAAAGGACUCAAAAUUUAUUUUGUAUAGUCUUAAUUUUCAUUAAUGAAAUAAGUCACAAGCAGUUGGCCAGUGGACAAAAUAGAAAAUAGCCAUAUCAGACUCAAAUAUGUUAAAAGUUUCAACGUAAAGAAGAAUAAAAUUUAAUACAAGUGUAUCCCAGGUUAUGACCAUCUCACAAUAAAACAAACCACAAAUACAACUGUCAUAUAUUUCUACCCCUACCCAGCGGUCAGGUUGCUUAGUGCCAAAAUUGCCACUUGGCAAUAUUUUUAUUAAACUGGUAAUAAAAAUAUAAUACUGACAAAAGCAAGUGGUGAUAAAAUCCUAAUCUGCUUGUUGAUAUUCAGUGUAAAAUUGAAUCGCAAAUUACACUUCAGGAAAAAUAGCAAAAUGUGGAGCUUCCAUACAAUGGGAGUCCCAUGCACUACACAUCUAGCAAUUUCAUAAUGUUACAUGGCAAGUUAGGGAAGAAAAGAAAGAAGUGAAGUCAUGAACCAAAAGCAGUUUUGUGCAAUGUUGCUCAGUGCAAGGCCACUUGAUCGCUUCGCUAGUAAGGCCGUCCGCCGUAAGGAAAAUUGCCGUAUUCACACUGUUUCCAUUUUUUGCCGCUGCGAAAGAUUUUGGCGCUAGUUAUCGGGAACAUCGUUUGCAGCAGCUCAUUUCUUGAUUGUCAAAAGUUUUCAACCUGCUUUAAUGAGAAAAAUAUUUAAAUGCAGCGACGUCUCCAAACUCCUCUAUACUCUCCACCUGAAUCGCUGA